UCAGAGUGGGCAGAAAGAAAAGUAACCCCGUUCAGCUCUCCCUUCCACGUUAUCACCAUGCAUAUGGAAACUCCUCCAAGAACAUCACUCCAGACCUUUAAAAGGGAGAGUCCCAAACCAGAGGUCGUCGUCCAGCCCCCUCUUCUCACCCUUUCUCUCUUUGCUGGGCAUAUCAGUGUAUUUUCAUGCCUCGAAACUCCUGGUUAGGGACCUCUGAUAAAAAAACUUUCUUCCUAAAAGUUGUUCAUCUGUGUCUCCUCUAUCUAGCCUCCAAAUUUCAGCUCCAUCGGAGUCAUUUUGAAACUUGUACACCCCUCGAAGUGGAAGCUGUUCAGGAGCAAGCCUGUUCCGGAUUUCUGCUUGAAUUCCCUCUUUUGAUCUACCCGAAUCCCUCACAUCUUACUUGAGGCUGAUACCAAUAGUUGAUUGAGCGAAUUUCUUGACCUGCAACUGGGCUCGAUCCAAUCAGCUCCUCAUCUCUCUUUCCUUCUGAAACCCUCAAGAGAAACUCACCUUUUUGGUUAGUCUUUGUUACCUGAGAGGAUUUCGUUCUUUGAACUGCUGGCAAGAAGACUGUAGUCGAUUAAGUAGAAGCGAUGUAGUGGAAUAGAGGCUGGUAAUUCUGGAAUGUGCUUAAUAAUGGUCUUGCCAGUGAAAUAGAUUUGUGCAGGGUGUGGUACUAUUUUGUAGCUUGGCUGGCUGUAGCUUGUAAAGAAGCGGCUGAUUUCAUAUAUAUUUCCUUGAACAAUGUUGGAUGCGAGUAGUUCGCAGUUCCCUUGUCUUAUGAAUCUGUGGAUUGCAUCAUUCUAAUUGUAAAAUAUAAAAAUUUAAUGUUCUUCUUGCUUAGUUUAGUAAUCAGAAAUGAAGUAGGGUAUUAAGUAUCUGACCAUUUCAUCCACCAAUAUAAAUUGGAGGGCUUCAUUUUUUUCCACAGGUUUGUAUUUUUUUGAUUCCCAACGCUUGCAUACACGGACUCUGAUCUGGAUGUUAUUUUGGCAGAGCUCGAUGUCACGAAUUCAAACAGUGCGUAUUGCCAUGAGUUCCUGCACACAGUUGGUUUAAAUGUCAGUAUUUGGUAUCCAUGUUUAUAUGAGUCUUGUUAGCUUCAUGGAAAAUUUAAUGACAAUACAGAUUGCUUUUGAUGCUCAUAAUAGAUACAAAAAUAUAAGUAUGUUGCUGAAUUAUAUAGGAUUUUUUUUUUUUUU